rnacentral:rRNA from 1 species
AUUGAACGCUGGCGGCAUGCCUUACACAUGCAAGUCGAACGGCAGCACGGGAGCAAUCCUGGUGGCGAGUGGCGAACGGGUGAGUAAAGUAUCGGAACGUGCCCAGUCGUGGGGGAUAACGUAGCGAAAGUUACGCUAAUACCGCAUACGAUCUAUGGAUGAAAGCGGGGGAUCGCAAGACCUCGCGCGAUUGGAGCGGCCGAUAACAGAUUAGGUAGGUGGUGGGGUAAAGGCUCACCAAGCCGACGAUCUGUAGCCGGUCUGAGAGGAAGACCAGCCACACUGAGGUUGAGACACGGCCCAGCCUCCUACGGGAGGCAGACGUGGGGAAUUUUGGAUAAUGGGCGAAAGCCUGAUCCAGCCAUGCCGCGUGCAGGAUGAAGGCCUUCGGGUUGUAAACUGCUUUUGUACGGAACGAAAAGGUUUGGGCUAAUAAGCUGAGCUCAUGACGGUACCGUAAGAAUAAGCACCGGCUAACUACGUGCCAGCCGCCGCUGUAA